GAGAGGGCGACCUAUUCUGAUGAGCAAUCGUGCCAUGAACUCCCACUUAAUGUGAAAAAAACGUAACUUUAGGGAAUUUUAAAGGAAGCCAGAUACGUUUGUGAUCUCAUCACCAGCAGACUACCAAAGAAGAGUCUUCUAAGAGACAACCAAGGUAAAGGGCAGUGAAUUCAUUUCACCAGGCAACACUAAGCAACCGGUGAGUGAAGAUAAAAAGCAGUGGAGUCCUCUCAUCAGUCCAGAGGUGCCGCAGCUCGCCGACCUGCCGCAGAGAGUAAGGAUGCUGCUUUUUUAUGGUAAGUGAGAAAAGAUGGAAAAGGAGAAUAUGUGGAAGAAACAUCCUGGGUAAGAGCAUUCCUGAUAUAUUCCCAGUCACAGUUUAGCUGUUGAUGAAGUUUAUGACGCAGUCCAAACGAGAACAACCUCGACUAAAGAGGAUCUAACACCGAGAGCACGUUUCAUUAAAUCCAUUAUAGAAAAAUUCAUAAAUUUAAUGAAGUUCUAUUUACUUUCACUCAGAGUUACUUUAUGCUUUCAUUAUAAGGUGAUGCUUUUGGAAAAUCCUCCAUUGUGGCUUUAUAAUAAAUUCUCAGCCAUAAUAGAGGAGAACUAUUGCUAGAAUAAAACCCAUUCAUCUGCUUAUUUACACUGACCGCUGCAGAUGGACUUUAUUAAUUGCAGGUUGUGACUAACUUUGUUUGACUGGAAUUCAGUUUGGUUUUCUUUGUAAAGCACAAUCACAGCAGCAGCACCGUGGGCUCGCUGAGACCAGCGCACAGAAACGAUGCUGCCGUCCCUUUGAGGUCCGUGAUGGACGUGAGAAAGUGUACACAGAGAGAGAGAGGGAGGAAAUGCUGUAUUUAUUUACCAAGGAGUCAAAAUUCUUAAGGGUAAUGCUUUAGGAGGACAUUCACAUAACCCCCUAUACACACUCAGACUCUUACACAAGUUCCCUGUGGGACCACAGAGCAGAGAUUCCCAGGACAGUUUUCACAUGGAAGACGAGGGGGUUAGUGGUGAUGCUGCUGGUGUGGGAGUGGGAAGACAGUCUGUUCACACAGAUUUUGAUGCUUUUCUGCAUUUGUUACCUGUUUACCACGCAGCAAUACAUCCCAUAAUUAUUAGACGGUUUGUGAGGCACCACUUUGUACUUUUGAUACUUUUCACUCUUUAUUCGUCUUCAGAGUUACUUUAUGCUUUCAUUAUAAGGUGAUGCUUUUGGAAAAUCCUCCAUUGUGGCUUUUUAAUAAAUUCUCAGCCAUAAUAGAGGAGAACUAUUGCUAGAAUAAAACCCAUUCAUCUGCUUGUUUACACUGACAGCUGCAGACUGACUUUAUUAAUUGCAGGUUGUGACCACUUUAAGUCUUUUGAUCCUAAUCUGUAAAAACCAUUCUCAGCUCAUCGCAGCGUGUACACCUCAGAUAUCUGUGGUACUUUUACUGCAUCAGCUGCUGUAACAUCUCUGCCUGCACACAAAACAGGAAUUUCAAAGUCGGAUGAGGUCAUUUAACUCGGACUGCAAAUCCCACACAACAGUUUAGAUAAAAUACUUGUAGAUAUUCACACAGUAUUUAACAUCCUGCAGUAUUUUUAGCUGAUAUUUGUCCAAAGUGGUUUUGGUGGUUGUUUCUUCUCGUUCAGGUUCUGUGCCAGUGUUUGGAGCCUGUUUUCAUUCUCAGGGUCAAAGGCUGAAGAAAGAUGAUUAGUUUGUAUGUUUGCUUUUCCCUGUUAGACUCUUUCAGUGCUUUUUUCCUUUCUAAUUCUUCCCUAAUUAUAGGCCACACUGUGUUAACUGGAGCAGUCAGCUGAUCAGGAUCCAGUGAGCCUCAGUGCUCACAUGCACAUUGCCAUUUUUGGUAGUAAUGAUGAUUUAAGUUCUUUUAUGUUGACUUUUAUGGCUCCUGCUGCUUUUUGCAGACUGUGUGACUUUGUUUAUCAUUUUAUUGGAUACAUGAGGCUGUCCUGGAGCUUUGAUUUGAAAAAAGAUGAAUUCCACAAACAUAGGUGUCACUUGUCAGUGAGAGAGAGAGAGAGGGUAUUUGAGUAAGGAUGUGAUAGAUGGAGAGAGGGGCUUCCUGUGUGUGAUUUAGGGAGCCAAGGGAAAGAGAAAGAAGACCAUAUUUGGCAAUGUUUGUCUUAGCAUAAGACACGGCUCUGACUGUUAUCACACUCUGUCUAAACACACACAUGCGCGCUCACACACACAGAUUCCCACUCGCAGCAGCUAAACCGUCACAGGCUUUAUUAACAUGUCAUGGAUUAGUUUAGACUGGGUCGCUGAUUUAAAGAUGUUGUUUACAGUAACGUCAUCAUGCUGUUACAUUCAGAUAUUAUUAGGCUUUUUUUUAGCAAUAGCAAACUGCAGAUAUGCAUCUGAUAAAUGGCAAAAACCAUCGCUCCUCCUGACAAGAGGAAAUGUUCAGUAUUUCUAGUUUAUUAGGAGAAACUUUAUUUUCUGUCAUUUAAAUGCAAAGUGCACCAAAAUAUAUUUGAAUCAUGGGAGCUGCACAGGUUUUGUUUUCUAUUAGAAACCCCCAGGACAUGUGGGCAAACUGCUGUGCAGACUUCAUAGAUCAUGUGAGCGCACACAAACUGUGCGUGGAAAAAAUGUCUUUGCAACGUUGUUUUCAUGUGAAUCCAUUUCUGGAGAACGUAUCUUCAGAUAUGAGCCACUCUGGGACUGUGGCCUUUCUCACACACAGCCAGACACUGUGUGUGAGAAAGGCAGAAAGGCAAACAGCUGGGUUUUCUUCUUAAUAUGGUCGUGCUGAGCCCAAACGCAGACGGAGCAGGACUGAGUGAGAUAAAGACCUCCUCUCUUUGCUGCCUUUUAAGUGAGUCUUUUACUGGUGUGACUAGAAAAGGGAAUGUUGCUGCCGAAGGAGGAGGUGCGGGUGAAGGUUGGGGGGUGGGUAGUGGGGGUGGUGGGGGUCACAUACUAUCAGUGGGAGCGAUCGCAGACUGGAAGAGGGAAUGUUUAUCCAAAGCGGUGAUCCCAUUUUCCAUGAUCCUCAAAAUAAGAGACUUGCCCGGGCCUUAUAUGGUCAGACUGGGAGUUUCCAGCUGAGCAGAGUCAGAACAUUUCUGGAAAACACCCGGCCUCUGCUUCUCCCAUUGCCUUAAGUCUCUCCGUCUGCUGCACCUUCCUUUGAUGGAUGAACAGCUCGGAGCACAGAGCGUCUGUUUUCAGUUUUUGGAAAAAGGAAUUCUAUGAAUAAUUAUUGCUUAGUAGUUUUCUCAGAUGGAUCCGGAGUAAUGUGCUGGUCCGUCCCGAGCCUUUGGCAGAGUUUUAGCGCUCAUCCAAACUGAAAACUGUGGGAGAGAUGAACAGCUUUCUAAGACUGGCCCAAACAGCAACGACAUGUUCCCGUGUCGCAGACAAACAUGGACCAGGCCACAGCAGAGUCGAUGUUUGAGAGCAGCCAGUUGAUUUCCUCCUCACUGAGGCAGACGGCGGCCGUUGUAGAGCGCAUGCAUUUUCUGUUUCUACUUGUGUAUGUUGCAGAUGUCUUUCACGUGGACACUGGGAUGGUGCCGUCUACUAAGAAAUCAAAUCAUCUCUUGUUUGCUUAUUCCUGCAAAAAUGUUUGAACUCUGCACUUCAUGCCAGUCACACACACACACACACACACACACACACACACACACACACACACACACAUGCACGCAUCGUGAAAGUGUGAUUUCUUUUCUAUGAUGUGUUCUGAAGUCCACUCUUUUUAUUCAUAUCUAAACUGGUUCCCUCUGUUUUUCUCCAGUUUACUUCCAUCCCUGCGGCCCAUGGUGCAGUGCUGCAUCUCUGGUCAGUUGGUAGUCUGAGAUGAAGCACUGUAGCUCGGGACGGAGGGCGCAAAUACCAAUUUAAACAUAUCCACCACCAGGACACGUAGUCCAGCAGUAGGUCUCCACAGACCUGCUGCUGGAACAGGAAAAAAUCCUGGAUCUUGUGAAAGGAGGCAGCUGCAGGCAUGGUUGUGGAUUUUAGGUGACUGGACUAUUAAAUUGAAUUUAUUCCAGUUAUAAGAAUGCUGGUUUGUCCCAUUUCAAGGACAAACUAAAUUGGAAACAAGCUGAGAACACAUUGUACCUUCCUCUUCUCCUCUCUCCUGGGGUCCAGUUUUCCCAGGAAUCCCUUGACCUAUCAGAAAGGGGGAUUCCUGGAAAUACUGUUCUUGGGGGUGGGGCUUAUCAGCAAUUCUUUGUGCAGUACAUUAUCCUUUAACUGUAAAUGACGUGUAUAAUAUUAUUUGCACUGAAUGACUUUUGAAUUCAUUUAUUUUUUAAACACAAGAGAAACCAAAGUGAGGAGCAGCUGUAAUGUUAUUGUGACGUAGAAAUAUUUACUGUAUCACACGUAGUUAAGUGAAGAUGGAAGGAUUACUGGUUUUAACAUUUUAUUUAAAUGGAUUUCCUAUUUCGAUUCAUCCAAAAUAUGAAGCAUUUUUGUCUCUGUGCUGUUUUGGACUACGUCUCCUCUGUUCGUCCGUUCAGAAACAAUAAAGAAAAAAUCCUCAUGACUAUGUUCCAA